rnacentral:lncRNA from 1 species
GCCCUACUCAUCCGGAAAUGACUAAACCCUUAGAAGCUGACUGUUCCGGUGAGCUAAAUCUGGGGUGGAAAUGAAAGCUCAGGACAUUCCCAGCAUGCCAUGACUUGUAGAAAGUGUUUCUAUUCUUUCUAUCACCUGUGUGGCUGCAAACAGCUAUUUAAGUCGAGAUCUCCCCCACCUCAUUUUAUUUACAUAGAAAAAAUGUGUGGAAAAGGGAAAUAAAAAUAUCUUGUCACUGCAAAAACAACAAAUCAGUGUUUGUGGGUUUAUAAAACCACAAUAAUUGUAGCACACACACAAACACAUUUGCACACACAUAGAAAUAUACUUACACACUCUUACAUUAUAUCAAAAAGCCCUUAGACAGCAUUCUGUUUGGAAGAGAAACCUGAAAUCAGUAGUUUCUAGGCUUAUAUAAAAAUGAAACAAUUGAAUGUCAUAGACCUAGGUUAUAAUAUUAUACUGUUUUUAAAGAAAAUUUUAUUUUAGGUUUCUCAUAUUGGAAAUUUUCAACUCCUGUCUUGGUGACCACUUGGCAGAGAUGUUGCAUAAGAAAUUCAAAGGUAGGGAUAGGGUAAAUACAAUUUUUCCCAAGUCGUCUUCUUUUCACAGUGUAAAAGAAAAGAAAUGUGUACUCAACUUCAUUAAAUACAGUGUUUAAAGUACUUCCUUAGUGGGGUAGAGAGAUGCUUUAGUGGUUAAGAGCACUCAUUUGAUAUUCUUGCAGAUCUGAGUUAUGCUCUCAGUAGCAUAUGUUAGUUUACAACUUUCUGCUAACUCUAGUGAUGGGGACUCUGACGCUCUCUCCUGGAUUCUGUAGGCACUGCAUGGAGCAAAACACUGUACACAUAAAAUAAAGAUAAAUGCAUCAAUUAAAAAUAUGCUUUGAUUUACAUUGAUGCAGUGCUUUGAAUGAGAAUGGCCCCAUAGGCUCAUAUAAUUGAAUACUUGGUCCCCAACCGGACAACUGCUUUGAAGAAUUAGGACAUUCGGCCUUGUUGGAAUAUGUGUGUUGCCAGAAGCCGACUUGUAUAUUUAAAAAAAGUUGUAGACUCAAAAUGAUCUCUGUGCCUUGUGGUUGUGAAUCAAGAUGCACAUUCUUACCUUUUCCUUGAUUCUGCUAGAAUGGACUCAAGCCCUCUGAAAUCAUAAGUCAAGUUAAACAUUUUCUUGGUCAUGGUGUUUUAUCACAGUAACAGAAAAAUAACUAAGACAGUUGCAAAUUCUAUUGCAAAAUUCUAUUGAAAUAGAAAAUUAAGGACACACACUACACACAGUGUUAGGUUUAUUGUCAACCCAGCUGUUUUCAAGUCCCACGGCAUGUAGAUAUUCACAGACUAACACAAAAAUUCUUAACUUUUAAUACUGCCUUUAAUAAUGAUGCUGUUGCAAAAAAAUGGAUUAAACUAGGUUGUUUGCAUGUAUUCUAGGGAAAGUCUUGUGUUUAUUGGGGUUGUUUCAUGAUUUGUGUCAAUAUCGCAUGUGAAAUACAAAUUGUUCAUACAGCUAAACACUGAGGUUAUAUCAGAGGAAAUAACAGAGAAGGAAGGAGAGAGUUUAAACAAACUAGAAUGAAAAUGUUUAAAAAAAAAUGAACCAGCACAAAAAAAUAUAGGAGAAAGUGUCACUGAAAAAUUGUGUCCCUUAGAAAGGCAGGUAGGGAUAAAAGCCCAAGUACAUAGAGCUGCCUAGCAAUCAUGUGGUCACUGUAUGUCAUAGAGCCCCUUAGAGGGAGAAUGGUCACAGUAAGUUCAUAAAGCCAUUUAGUGGGAGCUUGGUCACUGUGAGGUCAUAAAACUCAGCACAGUGAGUUCAUUGGGAGUUCACAGAGCUGCCCAGCAAGCGUGUGGCCACUGUGGUGAGCGAGUAUUCAAACCUCCUCAUGUUUGAACACUCACAUAGUCUGUAGACCCUGCCCUGGCUGUCCACAAAGACAUCCAAAAUGCUUCUACUCUAGACCUUUGCAAUGACUUGCGAUUCACUCCUUGGCCUGUCCAGAUGGACACAGGGUCAUCCCAUUUUCUCCUAAUUAAAUCACUGCUUACAUUGACUUAAUUACAUCUUUACUUACUGAGUACUGAGAGAAAAGGGUGACCCCCCUCCCCUCUCAAGCCCUUUCACAAUCACUGUUUGUCAUAGCAGUUGACACAUAAUGACGUUCCAAGGAAAUUAAGAGGAAUUGAAUGUACGUUCUCUUUACAGGUUUUCUCACUCACUUGUGAAGGCCAUAAGGUCAGGGAUUUAUUCUGAAUCACCUUCUGAUAUUUCCUUAGUAUGUAAAAUAAUACCUGGCACACAGCUGGGAAUGCAUGAAUGGAAAUUGAGUGGGUUGGGGGGGGGUGGCUAAUUUUAGGCUCAGGAAAAUUAUUUUCUAGUUUUCCAUUUUAAUUAGUAUUUUAGGUGUUCUGACAGGAGCAUAAUAUUGUACAAGAGAAAGGUCUUAGUGCCUAAUUAUGUUUUAAAUUAUAACAGUUUUAAUAACAUCAUUUGCUUUCUAUUCUUUUGUAAUGAACUCUAAAAUAGUCUAGGACUGAAACUAGGAGGGAAAUCCAGCCUUGUAUUUUAAAAUGCUUAAUGUGUGUAGACUCUAAAACUAAAAUUUACAAAUAGAAUUUCAAAAAUUAGGUAUUAUGCAAAAUACAUAUUUGCAUAUUUGAUGAUAUAUUUACAUAUUUAACUCAUAAGACUCAUCUCUUGACAGUUGGAUUAUCCAAAGCCUUUAUGUUUAGCAAUUAAAACUGUGGAAACAGAACAGACAAGGCUCAGCUUGUGUUGUGUUCCCAUUUCCUCACUGAGCAAAUCCUUUUAACAAGGUGAGACAGUGUGGCAGGAAGUGAGGGUGUUCUCAACAGAGAGUUUGAAAGCAGUUCCUAUUGGGUAAACAUAGUAACUGACCCCUGUGCCUUUUAGGCAACAGGUGUGCAUGCAUUCUUUUUAAAUCUAGAAAGAAAUUCAUUAUGCAUGAGUAAAGAAUGAGUCUGAUGGUGCUCGUUUGUUUGUUUUUACACCAACAUCCAAUUAGAACCCGUGACCACUUCAGCUGCUCUUAAACUGAAACCCUAUUUCCAAGGUGUUGGUGUCAGCCCAGCAAGGUUCACAGCCUAAUUAUCUUUUAAAGCACACCCUUUCUCUUUCAGAGUCCUUUCCUUAGAAUUUUAUCUAGUCAUCUGAGUCAGCAACACAGUAAGGUGCUCACCAGCUAAUCAGCACAGGGCAAGGUACAUCUGGAUGAGAGUGUGGAACCUCGGACACCUCCUCAGACAGUUCCUAAGCUGAUACUCAUUAGAGGGCUUGCUAUAGCUGUGCCCAGGCUUCUCUAUGUAAGGAGGAUAUGGAAAAAAUGAGAGUAUCUAGUAAUAAUUUUAAAGAUUGAAUUAAAAUAGAAAAUAAUAGCUGUACGGGAAAGUAAUUGGCGCAUUGUUUAUUUGAAUAACAUACUAGUGGUGACCAGGAAUCUCUGUUUUCUCAAUUUUCCCCUAUAGCACCACCAUCAAAGCAUGAUAUUAAUGUGUUUAUUGGCAACUUAGGACAUCUCAAGUCCAGUGAUCAAUUGACAUCCCUUGUGAAGAAACCAACAUACACUCAGCCUUUCUUGACUGGUGCAGAAAAAAACUAUUAAGUAAUGUUUGUUUUCUUAUUCAAAUGUGUUCCAAGAUAGUCUCCCAUAUAGCGUGAUUGUACCCAGCUAUAAAGUAAGGCAUAUUUUACAUGGACUAGAGUUAACCUCUGUCUUUCAAUUUCUGUUUUAGGAUGAUUUUCAUCCCACAUUAGGUUUAUGUUAAACCCAGCAUUUUUCAAUC